GCGCGGAUUGCUUGGCAGCGUUUUGCGGGCGUCGGCUCACUUGACAGCAGUCUACUCGGAUUAAACAUGGACCAUUCCAUAGGCGAAUAAAGAAUGCAAUUCACCUAUAAUUGGAAAACCUAAUCUGUUGAUUUUUAAUUCCAAGAACAACAGCAGGCCUAUUGGCAUCAUCUUCAAUGCUUCAUGUAGCCUAUGCUUGAAAGCAUUCCUCUUCCGGCUACAGAGACUAGUGAGCACGCGCGUGCUCCGCAAGAGUGAACUGGUGCUGAUGCUGAAGAGGAGGCGCGCGCCUCACAUGAGCGCAUCGCAUUACAUCACUUUGCUACGACGUGAUUGGCUGAAGGUCAAUGCGUACUUCGCUCGCGGACUACCACAACCAUAUAUCUCGACUCGCACUCGAGAUAUUAUAGCUCUCAAAAUUGAAUGCAAAUAUAUUUUCGUUUAGUGCCCGUUUUGAGGAUGGCCGAGAGCGAGGCAGACACGCCAAGCACCCCGAUUGAGUUUGAGAGCAAAUACUUCGAGUUUGAUGGAGUGCGACUUCCACCCUUCUGCAGAGGAAAGAUGGAGGAGAUCGCCAACUUCUCCCUCAGAAGUAGCGACAUAUGGAUUGUCACGUAUCCCAAGUCAGGUACCAGUCUCCUUCAGGAAGUUGUGUAUCUGGUGAGUCAGGGAGCGGAACCAGAUGAGAUUGGUCUGAUGAACAUCGAUGAGCAGCUUCCUGUUCUGGAGUACCCUCAGCCUGGCCUAGACAUCAUACAGGAGUUGACGUCUCCUCGUCUGAUCAAAAGCCACCUGCCCUACCGCUUCCUGCCUACAGCCAUGCACAAUGGAGAGUCCAAGGUGAUCUACAUGGCGAGGAACCCUAAAGAUCUUGUGGUGUCUUACUACCAGUUCCACCGCUCCCUCAGAACCAUGAGCUACCGCGGAACCUUUCAGGAGUUCUGCAGACGCUUCAUGAACGACAAGCUGGGAUAUGGUUCCUGGUUUGAGCACGUGCAGGAGUUCUGGGAGCAUCGCAUGGACUCAAACGUCCUCUUCCUGAAAUAUGAAGACAUGUACAAGGACCUGGGGACAUUGGUGGGGAAGCUGGCGAGGUUCCUGGGUGUCUCGUGUGACAAGGCCCAGCUGGAGACAAUGGUAGAGAGCUGCAACCAGCUCAUAGAGCAGUGCUGCAACUCAGAGGCCCUCUCCAUCUGCAGGGUGCAUGGACCCUAGCCUCUGACCUGGUGCUGGUCUAACACACAGCUCUGAGCUAAUAGGGCCAUAAACACACAUUCCUAUACACACUACUGGAGGACAGGUCGCGUGGGACUGUGGCAGGACAUCUUCACCGUGUCUAUGAACGACAAGUUUGACGCGGUGUAUAGACAGAAGAUGGGCAAGUCUGACCUGACCUUUGACUUUGGCCUGUGAGGACCGGACCGACUGACCACAACGACACGAACACGGACUUACACUCCUCCUCCUGCUGCCUAAACACCAUACACUCCUCUGCCUCUCUUCAUCACUCAAUAAAUCAAUCAAUCAAUGAAUCAAUCAAACAAUCACGUUUUAGAUAUACUGUAUAACGCUGUAUGAAUGCUAUGGUGGGGAAUCAUAAGUCCAGCCCAGAGUCAAGUAUAGAGACCCCCGAGACUGCCCUUUGAUACAGAGCAAGUGUUCCGUUUUAGCUGUAUCCAGGUCAGUUCCUAUUUGACCUUGUCCUUCAUUUUAGCACACGUUUUUCACUUUCAGUACAUUACAUUACAUAGCUUGUUUGUUACAAAAAGGCUUUCAAUGGGCAUUAGCUUAAUCAGCACUAGACUUUUUGUAUCAACCUUUCUUGCCGAGAUGAAUGGGGAAUGUGUGUGUGUGUGUGUGUGUGUGUGUGUGUGUGUGUUGUGUGUGUGUGUGUGUGUGUGUGUGUGUGUGUGUGUGUGUAAGCAAAAUCACAAAAAUGACACAUCACAACUGCCUUUUAUAUCAGUUCUGUUUGUUUAUGCUGCUAAAGUGAUGCCUUUCUCUGUCCUCAGACCCAUAGCCACCUAUAGAGUUACUGUACCACACUGAAACAACAGAGUAUCCCUCCAUGUUACCAGCAUUCUCUGUAUGCUCUCCCCCAUGUACAUGUAGCCCCUCUGCUGGACACUUGUGAAUGUCUUCAUUGAUGUGGAUGUAACAACCUCAACCCCUCCCACAGGCUCAGUUCUGUGCUUAGGACAUCCCUCUUUUAUUCUCUCUCUCUCUCUCUGUUUCUCUCACUCUGUAUCUCUCUCUCUCUCUCUGUUUCUCUCACUCUGUAUCUCUCUCUCUCUCUCUGUUUCUCUCACUCUGUAUCUCUCUUUCUCUUUCUGUUUCUCUCACUCUGUAUCUCUCUCUCUCUCUGUUUCUCUCACUCUGUAUCUCUCUCUCUCUCUGUUUCUCUCACUCUGUCUGUAUCUCUCUAUCGAUUCAAUUGGCUUUAGAUACAUGUGUUUACAUUGCCAAAGCAAGUGGAAUAUACAAUAAACCAAAAGGGAAAUAAACUCUCGUCAGCUUUUUCUCUCAUUCUCUCUGUUUACGACCGUUGGCAAUCCUGCUGCAGCCCAUCUCUACAAGGGUAAUGUGGUGUACUGUUUGUUUUGUUUUUAUAUGCCUGUAGGGUUGUCCUAACCUGGGCAUAAUGCAUCGUACUUUACAUGCUUGCUUGCUGGUUUAUGAAUAAAGUUGUCUUCAGGACAA